rnacentral:rRNA from 1 species
CCCUUAGAUGUCCUGGGCUGCACGCGCGCUACACUGAUGUGUCCAGUAAGCACCUAACCUCUUCCGAAAGGAACGGGUAACCUUUGCAAAGCACAUCGUGAUGAGGAUAGAUUAUUGCAAUUAUUAGUCUUGAACGAGGAAUUCCUAGUAAGCACAAGUCAUCAGCUUGUGUUGAUUACGUCCCUGCCCUUUGUACACACCGCCCGUCGCUCCUACCGAUUGAAUGUUCCGGUGAGCUCUUCGGACUGCGCGGUCUGCAGUUUCUGCGUUCCGUGCGGAAAGUUGCGCAAACCUUAACAUUUAGAGGAAGGAGAAGUCGUAACA